CUACGGGUCGCUGCAGUGGGGAAUAUUGCACAAUGGAGGAAACUCUGAUGCAGCAACGCCGCGUGGAGGAUGACACUUUUCGGAGCGUAAACUCCUUUUAUAUAGGAAGAAGAUGACGGUACUAUAUGAAUAAGCGCCGGCUAACUCCGUGCCAGCAGCCGCGGUAAUACGGAGGGCGCAAGCGUUACUCGGAAUCACUGGGCGUAAAGAGCGUGUAGGCGGAUUAAAAAGUCAGAAGUGAAAUCCUAUAGCUUAACUAUAGAACUGCUUCUGAAACUCUUAAUCUAGAAUAUGGGAGAGGUAGAUGGAAUUUCUGGUGUAGGGGUAAAAUCCGUAGAGAUCAGAAGGAAUACCGAUUGCGAAGGCGAUCUACUGGAACAUUAUUGACGCUGAGACGCGAAAGCGUGGGGAGCAAACAGGAUUAGAUACCCCUGUAGUC
rnacentral:rRNA from 1 species